GUUUUGGUUAUGGCUCAGAUUGAACGCUGGCGGAAUGCUUUACACAUGCAAGUCGAACGGCAGCAUAGAGAGCUUGCUCUCUGAUGGCGAGUGGCGAACGGGUGAGUAAUAUAUCGGAACGUGCCUAGUAAUGGGGAAUAACUAGCUGAAAGGUUAGCUAAUGCCGCAUACGACCUACGGGUGAAAGCAGGGGAUCUUCGGACCUUGCGUUAUUAGAGCGGCCGAUAUCUGAUUAGCUUGUUGGUGGGGUAAUGGCCUACCAAGGCGACGAUCAGUAGCUGGUCUGAGAGGACGAUCAGCCACACUGGAACUGAGACACGGUCCAGACUCCUACGGGAGGCAGCAGUGGGGAAUUUUGGACAAUGGGGGCAACCCUGAUCCAGCCAUUCCGCGUGAGUGAAGAAGGCCUUCGGGUUGUAAAGCUCUUUCGCAAGAGAAGAAAACUUGCUAUCUAAUAAAUAGUAAGUAUGACGGUAUCUGACAA
rnacentral:rRNA from 1 species